GGCGGCUAUAGCGAUGGGGGUGGAUAUGGCGGUGGUGGUGGUUAUCACUAAAUCCGAGUCAUAAAGAAGAUGCCUUGUUAUUUCUUGUUAUUUUUGGAUGUAAUAAAAUGUUGACUUUA